CCUACGGGGCGCAGCAGUGAGGAAUAUUGGUCAAUGGGCGGGAGCCUGAACCAGCCAAGUCGCGUGAAGGAAGAAGGUACUUAGUAUUGUAAACUUCUUUUGUCGGGGAACAAAGGCGGAGACGCGUCUCCGGAUGAGUGUACCCGAAGAAAAAGCAUCGGCUAACUCCGUGCCAGCAGCCGCGGUAAUACGGAGGAUGCGAGCGUUAUCCGGAUUUAUUGGGUUUAAAGGGUGCGCAGGCGGAGGUGCAAGUCAGCGGUCAAAUUGCGGGGCUCAACCCCGUACUACCGUUGAAACUGCAUCCC
rnacentral:rRNA from 1 species